rnacentral:rRNA from 1 species
ACAGAGGGGGCAAGCGUUGUUCGGAAUUAUUGGGCGUAAAGGGCGCGUAGGCGGUGCGGUAAGUCACCUGUGAAAUCUCUGGGCUCAACUCAGAGUCUGCAGGCGAAACUGCCGUGCUUGAGUGUGGGAGAGGUAUGUGGAAUUCCCGGUGUAGCGGUGAAAUGCGUAGAUGUCGGGAGGAACACCAGUGGCGAAGGCGGCUACCUGGACCAGCACUGACACUGAGGCACGAAAGCGUGGGGAGCAAACAGGA